UAGCAUAUCAAUAAGCGGAGGAAAAGAAACCAACAGGGAUUACCUCAGUAACGGCGAAGUGAAGCGGUAAGAGCUCAAAUUUGAAAGCUGGCUCCUUCGGGGUCCGCAUUGUAAUUUGCAGAGGAUGUUUCGGAAGCAGCCCCCAUCUAAGUACCCUGGAACGGGUCGUCAUAGAGGGUGAGAAUCCCGUAUGGGAUGGGGUGUCUGCGUCCAUGUGAAACUCCUUCGACGAGUCGAGUUGUUUGGGAAUGCAGCUCUAAAUGGGUGGUAAAUUUCAUCUAAAGCUAAAUAUUGGCCGGAGACCGAUAGCGCACAAGUAGAGUGAUCGAAAGAUGAAAAGCACUUUGAAAAGAGAGUUAAAAAGCACGUGAAAUUGUUGAAAGGGAAGCGCUUGCGACCAGACUCGCCUCGGGGGUUCAACCGGCAUUCGUGCCGGUGUACUUCCCCCGGGGCGGGCCAGCGUCGGUUUGGGCGGUCGGUCAAAGGCCCUCGGAAUGUAACGCCUCUCGGGGCGUCUUAUAGCCGAGGGUGCCAUGCGACCUGCCCGGACCGAGGAACGCGCUUCGGCUCGGACGCUGGCAUAAUGGUCGUAAGCGACCCGUCUUGAAACACGGACCAAGGAGUCUAACAUCUACGCGAGUGUUCGGGUGUCAAACCCGUGCGCGCAGUGAAAGCGAACGGAGGUGGGAACCCUUACGGGUGCACCAUCGACCGAUCCUGAUGUCUUCGGAUGGAUUUGAGUAAGAGCGUAGCUGUUGGGACCCGAAAGAUGGUGAACUAUGCCUGAAUAGGGCGAAGCCAGAGGAAACUCUGGUGGAGGCUCGCAGCGGUUCUGACGUGCAAAUCGAUCGUCGAAUUUGGGUAUAGGGGGCGAAAGACUAAUCGAACCAUCUAGUAGCUGGUCUG
rnacentral:rRNA from 1 species